CCUUCAGUAACGGCGAGUGAUCAAGGGAAGAGCCCAACACUGAAGACUGUGCCCAGUUGGCUACUAGUCAAUGUGGUGUUUAGGUUGUUCCGGCGGAGUCGCUGCUCCACCCUAAGUCCAUGAAUGAGUAUGGUAAAUGGACAUGGCCCACAGAGGGUGACAGGCCCGUGGGGGUGGAGGUCAGGCAGGCCAGCGACGCCCUGGAUAGACCUUGGAGUCGGGUUGUUUGUGAUUGCAGCCCAAAGUGGGUGGUAAACUCCAUCUAAGGCUAAAUACUAGCACGAGUCCGAUAGCAAACAAGUACCGUGAGGGAAAGUUGAAAAGUACUUUGAAGAGAGAGUAAACAGUGCGUGAAACCGAUCAGAGGUAAGCGGGUGGAGUUGAACUGCAAGCUCUGAGAAUUCAGCUGGUGAGUGUGGUUUGAGCUUGGUCAAGUCAGUUGGACUCUGUGGUUCGCGAAGCACUUAGCAAGUGUUGCGGGCCAUGGGUGUUCUUCGGGCUGACUCGCCGGUGCACUUUCUCAGAGUGGUCACCACGACCGGCAUCGCUGUCUGGCUGGUGGGGUUAAACCGGUUUUGCAAGGUCCUUGUGGCUCUGCUUGAUCGGGAUGGCAGGUAGCUCGUUGGCUUGCUUGCGAGCCUUCGAGUGUAAUCAGCUGACCACAUCGGUUCUGUGCAGUAUGUCGGAGACGGCGGCUAGUGCGCGUGCGUGCAUAGCUGGUCGGCCUGUCCGGGUUUGGUUGUUACGUGCCUGUUUAUUCAGGCCUGAUGAUGGCUCGGAUUCAGUUCCGGCUGGCUGUUGCGUGCGUGCACAAUAACAGGGCCCAAAUUCUGUGGUGUAGUGGUUAACUAAUCCACCC
rnacentral:rRNA from 1 species